GGGGGUUUGGCUCAGAGGUAGAGCAUCCGCUUUGCAUUCGAGGUUCUAUCUUGAAGAUUGCGGAAGGUCGCGAGUUCGAUUCUUGCAACCUCCA